UACGUAGGGGGCAAGCGUUGUCCGGAAUCAUUGGGCGUAAAGCGCGCGUAGGCGGCCCGGUAAGUCCGCUCUGAAAGUCCAGGGCUUAACCCUGGAAAGCGGGUGGAUACUGCCGGGCUUGAAUCCGGAAGAGGCGAGUGGAAUUCCCGGUGUAGCGGUGAAAUGCGUAGAGAUCGGGAGGAAGGCCGGUGGCGAAGGCGGCGCUCUGGAACAUUUCUGACGCUGAGGCUCGAAAGCGUGGGGAGCAAACAGG
rnacentral:rRNA from 1 species